AAGGGUAGACCCCGCCUCUGACCAAGGGUAGACCCCGCCUCUGACUGCCCUUGCCCGCCCCCUUAAAUGCUGUUCCGUCCUGUGUUUUGAGUCAGUCCUCCACAACUCGACAUUGCCAGCACCUGUCGCGGGGCAGGGGGGCCUCCCCGGGCUGACCGCCGUCUGCCGCCCCUCGGGCCCGCUGCUGGAGCCCUCCUCCUCGGUUUCGCAGCACAUGGUCUCCGGGUCUCGGGCCCCCGCCCUGCCCCUGCGGGCUCCAUGCGGAAUCUCCUCCCGAGUCCUCCCGCAUCCGGGCCCGAAGCAGCUUAUCCCCGCUGGCCCCCCGCUGCGGGCACUCCCCCGCUCAGCCCCGGAGGAGGGACAGGCACGCCCCGCGGGGUCGGCGGGCCGGGACCCGGGCGGCCGAGCCAGGCACUUCGGGCUUGGAAUCUGGGUGCUGUGGAGGCAGAGGGCGCGGACAGGGCCAUCCAGAGGCGCCGGCGGGGCGGAGGGUCGGCGGGAUGGGUGCCAGCGGGGAGGCUCACAGGCACCCGGGGCCUGGCUGCCGCACCCCGUCCAGGGUACGCCAGGUCCAGACAGAGGUUGCGACUGGACUACAGUAGGAGACGCUUAGGGCAGACCUACUGCAGAACUUUCUCGGUGAAACGCUGAUCCCUGGGUUACGUUGCCGUAAGAGGCUCUCACGGAAGCUUCAUGAAACGGGGC
rnacentral:lncRNA from 1 species